rnacentral:rRNA from 1 species
UCUCCGUAGGUGAACCUGCGGAGGGAUCAUUACACAAAUAUGAAGGCGGGCUGGAACCUCUCGGGGUUACAGCCUUGCUGAAUUAUUCACCCUUGUCUUUUGCGUACUUCUUGUUUCCUUGGUGGGUUCGCCCACCACUAGGACAAACAUAAACCUUUUGUAAUUGCAAUCAGCGUCAGUAACAAAUUAAUAAUUACAACUUUCAACAACGGAUCUCUUGGUUCUGGCAUCGAUGAAGAACGCAGCGAAAUGCGAUAAGUAGUGUGAAUUGCAGAAUUCAGUGAAUCAUCGAAUCUUUGAACGCACAUUGCGCCCUUUGGUAUUCCAAAGGGCAUGCCUGUUCGAGCGUCAUUUGUACCCUCAAGCUUUGCUUGGUGUUGGGCGUCUUGUCUCUAGCUUUGCUGGAGACUCGCCUUAAAGUAAUUGGCAGCCGGCCUACUGGUUUCGGAGCGCAGCACAAGUCGCACUCUCUAUCAGCAAAGGUCUAGCAUCCAUUAAGCCUUUUUUUCAACUUUUGACCUCGGAUCAGGUAGGGAUACCCGCUGAACUUAAGCAUAUCAAUAGCCGGGAGGAAA